rnacentral:rRNA from 1 species
CCUACGGGUGGCAGCAGUGAGGAAUAUUGGUCAAUGGACGCGAGCCUGAACCAGCCAAGUCGCGUGCAGGAUGACUGCCCUAUGGGUUGUAAACUUCUUUUAUAAAGGGAUAAAGUGAGACACGCGUGCCUUUCUGUAUGUACUUUAUGAAUAAGGAUCGGCUAACUCCGUGCCAGCAGCCGCGGUAAUACGGAGGAUCCGAGCGUUAUCCGGAUUUAUUGGGUUUAAAGGGUGCGUAGAUGGGAUGUUAAGUCAGUUGUGAAAGCUUGAGGCUCAACCGUAAAAUUGCAAUUGAUACUGGCAGGCUAGAGUACAGUUGAGGUAGGCGGAAUGCGUGGUGUAGCGGUGAAAUGCUUAGAUAUCACGAAGAACUCCGAUUGCGAAGGCAGCUUACUAAGCUGCCACUGACAUUGAGGCUCGAAAGUGUGGGUAGCAAACAGGAUUAGAUACCCGGGUAGUC